AGAGUUUGAUCCUGGCUCAGAUUGAACGCUGGCGGCAUGCCUUACACAUGCAAGUCGAACGGUAACGCGGGGGCAACCCUGGCGACGAGUGGCGAACGGGUGAGUAAUACAUCGGAACAUAUCCAGUAGCGGGGGAUAACCUAUCGAAAGAUGGACUAAUACCGCAUACGAUCUACGGAUGAAAGCAGGGGACCGCAAGGCCUUGCACUAUUGGAGUGGCCGAUGUCGGAUUAGCUAGUUGGUGGGGUAAAGGCUUACCAAGGCGACGAUCCGUAGCUGGUCUGAGAGGACGAUCAGCCACACUGGAACUGAGACACGGUCCAGACUCCUACGGGAGGCAGCAGUGGGGAAUUUUGGACAAUGGGCGCAAGCCUGAUCCAGCCAUGCCGCGUGAGUGAAGAAGGCCUUCGGGUUGUAAAGCUCUUUCGGUGAAGACGAAACGGUUAGCGCUAAUAACGCUGACUAAUGACGGUACUCACAGAAGAAGCACCGGCUAACUACGUGCCAGCAGCCGCGGUAAUACGUAGGGUGCAGGCGUUAAUCGGAAUUACUGGGCGUAAAGCGUGCGCAGGCGGUUUGCUAAGACAGGUGUGAAAUCCCCGGGCUUAACCUGGGAAUUGCGCUUGUAACUGGCAAGCUAGAGUGUGGCAGAGGGGGGUGGAAUUCCACGUGUAGCAGUGAAAUGCGUAGAUAUGUGGAGGAACACCGAUGGCGAAGGCAGCCCCCUGGGUUAACACUGACGCUCAUGCACGAAAGCGUGGGGAGCAAACAGGAUUAGAUACCCUGGUAGUCCACGCCCUAAACUAUGUCAACUAGUUGUCGGGGAAGAAAUUCCUUGGUAACGAAGCUAACGCGUGAAGUUGACCGCCUGGGGAGUACGGCCGCAAGGUUAAAACUCAAAGGAAUUGACGGGGACCCGCACAAGCGGUGGAUUAUGUGGAUUAAUUCGAUGCAACGCGAAAAACCUUACCUACCCUUGACAUGCUAGGAAGCCCGCAGAGAUGUGGUGUGCCCGAAAGGGAACCUAGACACAGGUGCUGCAUGGCUGUCGUCAGCUCGUGUCGUGAGAUGUUGGGUUAAGUCCCGCAACGAGCGCAACCCUUGCCAUUAGUUGCUACAUUCAGUUGGGCACUCUAUUGGGACCGCCGGUGACAAACCGGAGGAAGGUGGGGAUGACGUCAAGUCCUCAUGGCCCUUAUGGGUAGGGCUUCACACGUAAUACAAUGGUCGGUACAGAGGGCUGCCAACCCGCAAGGGGGAGCUAAUCCCAGAAAGCCGAUCGUAGUCCGGAUUGUAGUCUGCAACUCGACUGCAUGAAGCCGGAAUCGCUAGUAAUCGCGGAUCAGCAUGUCGCGGUGAAUACGUUCCCGGGUCUUGUACACACCGCCCGUCACACCAUGGGAGUGGGUUCCACCAGAAGUAGUUAGCCUAACCGCAAGGAGGGCGAUUACCACGGUGAGAUUCAUGACUGGGGUGAAGUCGUAACAAGGUA
rnacentral:rRNA from 1 species